rnacentral:rRNA from 1 species
AUUUGUCCUGUCCAGAAGUAUUACGCUGUUAUCCCUGGGGUAAUUUGUUCUUUAUUCCUUAUAAAGGAUCUCACUGUAUUUAGUGCAAAGUUAAAUUUACUGUCGUCCCAACCAAAUUUAAAUAAAAAAUAAAAUUUUAUAAUAUUUAUUUCUAAAUAAAUAA